rnacentral:rRNA from 1 species
CUCCUUUGACGUUAGCGGCGGACGGGUGAGUAACACGUGGGUAACCUACCUAUAAGACUGGGAUAACUUCGGGAAACCGGAGCUAAUACCGGAUAAUAUUUCGAACCGCAUGGUUCGAUAGUGAAAGGUGGUUUUGCUAUCACUUAUAGAUGGACCCGCGCCGUAUUAGCUAGUUGGUAAGGUAACGGCUUACCAAGGCGACGAUACGUAGCCGACCUGAGAGGGUGAUCGACCACACUGGAACUGAGACACGGUCCAGACUCCUACGGGAGGCAGCAGGC